rnacentral:rRNA from 1 species
UACGGAGGAUGCAAGCGUUAUCCGGAAUUAUUGGGCGUAAAGCGCACGUAGGCGGCUUCGCAAGUCGGAUGUGAAAUCCCUCGGCUUAACCAAGGAAGUGCAUCCGAAACUGCAGAGCUUGAGUACCUAAGAGGAUCGCGGAAUUCCCGGUGUAGAGGUGAAAUUCGUAGAUAUCGGGAGGAACACCAGUGGCGAAGGCGGCGAUCUGGGAAGAUACUGACGCUGAGGUGCGAAAGCGUGGGGAGCAAACAGG